CCAACCAAAGAAGGGUGCUUUCGGAUUCUGAAACAGUCCGGUGGUUGAACCAUGCAGUUGAAAACAUAUGGCCCAUAUGUAUGGAAAAGAUUGCCACUCAGAAUAUUUUACUCCCUAUCAUUCCGUGGUUCUUAGAGAAAUACAAACCUUGGACUGC